GGAUAGCGCAACCAAAAGUUUUUUCUCACUGGCGAGAAUGGAGGUAUCGGCGCCAUUGAGCGCGAUGGGACCUAACUUUUGAAUGCUAGUGAUGACAGUUUCAGCAGUGAGGACAGUGAUCGACCAAAAAGAAAGAAAAAAUGAGAGCACAACAAUAUCAACAACCAGAGUCAGGACAAUACAAAAAAAGAUAAGGAAAAAAAGAAACUGAAUAAUAGAAUAAUUGAAUAAUCUGAUAAUCAGAGCGACGAAGAUGAUGAACUGAAAAUUGAAGAACAAUGUGAACCUAAUUAGAACCUAAUUAAAAAAAAAAUCUGUAUUACUUCUAGCAAAGCCACAGAA